rnacentral:lncRNA from 1 species
CAACAUAAAGGCCAUACAUCUGAUAAUAAAGAUUAUAAUCACAAACUUAGUUAUCAUUUGUCUCAGAACUACGUUGGGAUGUAUUAUUGGAUGACUCAGGUGUAUUAUUGGAUGACUCAGGUGUUGAAGAUGAAUUACCAUUGCCGGAUGAAAACAAACUGCUAAAAGGCCACGGAAGUGGUAGAGAGAAGCGUCUUGUAUUUUCACUCCUUCCACCCCGUUCUCCACCUUCACUUCCACUAGCGGCAGCAUUAUUGCCUCCUGCAUCAUUGUUAUUGCUACCAUUCCUAGACACCCUUGACUCCAGUUUUGAUUCAUCUGAAGGUAACUGAUAGCGACAAACAGGGCACGAGCUAUGAAGUUCCAACCACGGUAGAAUACACCCAAUAUGGAACCUAUGCU